UUUUUUUUUUUUUUUUUUGCAGCUCUUCCCUCUGUUAGGAUCCGAAGGGAACAAGAUAGGCACGUGAGACCAUUUCUAGUGAAUCAGGCCGAUAUUACACCCCUAAUGCCACCCAUCCCUGGGGAAACGGGCUGGUAGAAGAAGUCGCAGGUGUGUGGAGAAGGCUUGAGGCACAGCCCCAGGGGAGCCCCAGACAGGUUGAGUUACUUCUGUAAGCUGGGAACGCGGUCUGCUCGCCAGAACAGCCGCAUGGCUUCCAGGAGCUCAGCGAGGGGAAAGUGAGAGUUGUAGGGCAAGGAUUGAGGCCUGGGAGGAAGAGUCGACAUUUUAUCUCCGUGAGAAGGAAGGCUUCUGAGUAGGGAAGGACAUGAUCUACUGGCUUGUGGUUUCUUAGCCAGCAGUGGCCAUGCCCUAAUUUCGCAGCUUGGCGGACUGCCACCCAAACGCUGUCUCUCCGGAAGUCUUUCCUGCCACCUGUAACCUCUUCGUUAGGGAUUCAUCCCGUGCAGGGCAUUUAUGUCUGUCUGUCUGUCUGGUAUUACAGAUCACACCUACCCCAGCUCUUUUUGCCUUUUCUACCAGGUGAAGGGCGAGGUAGGGGUGUGGGGUGUGUGUGUGUGUGUGUGUGUGUGUGUGUGUGUGUGUGUGUCUGUCCUUUUUGUCUGUUUCCGUCAUCUAAAGAUCCUUCUUCUGUGAGGCUGACAUGCCUUGAUUUCUAAGAUGGCCGACAGAUCUAGACCUGAAGCAGAUUCCAACAGAGCCCCACGGUGGCAUAGUCAUCCCUACCUCCUACCUCGUUGCUUAAGAUAAUCAUUAAAUAUUAAAUAAAUAAUAGAGUUAAUAACUAUAACAUGCUGACACAGAGUAGGGAGUAUAACAUUUGACAAAAAUGAAUAAUCUUGCAAGUAUUUAAUGUUGCAGACAUGAGCUUUUGUGGGUAGUAAAGAGACCCUUUCAGUCUGUCAUUGCCACCUUGCUGGCUCCUAAAGUUUGUGUAUCUACUUUAAUUAACGUGAACAUAAAACUUCCUCCUUAUAUUGACCAAGAUCUGCUGCUGACACCCAGCAGGCUAGGGACGGUCAGCUCUUUUCUCUAGGUUGCUGAGUCUGGGGAUGGCAACAGGUAUUCUUUCAGAGACAAUUCCAUAUACAUCAUGUGAAUCUGGGUAGGAAGAAAUGGAUAGUUUUAUAGUGCUAAAAACCAGUUAGCUUUAUAAUUUUAAAACUAGCUGUAGCCUUACCUUUAGUCCCAGCACUUGGGAGGCAGAGGCAGGGGGAUCUUUGUGAGUUAGAGAGCAGCUUGGUCUACAUAGUGAAUUCUAGAACAUCAAAGGUUAUAUAGUGAGACCCUGUCUCAAGAAAGACACAAACAAACAAACAAACAAACAAACAAGCAUAGUUCUGUACUGAACGCCCAGCAUCCUUGGCUCUGUUCCCGGGGCCCAUCUUGUGGUUCAUUCACGGCUUCUCAGGCUAUGCAUUAUUCCUGUACAUUUCUCUACUACUCAUUUCUCUUUUCAUUCCCUAAACAUCUUGGGAAUAAGACUAUUAUGUAUGACUAUUAAUUAUACUUACUAGAUUAAUUGAAACAAAAUCUUGCUCAAAUUUUUACUUAUUUAUUUUUUUCUGAGACAUGGUUUCUCUAUCUAGCUUUGGCUGACCUGGAACUCUCCAGAUCAGAACUCACAGAGACCCUGCUACCUCUCCCUCCGGAGAGGUGCUGGGAUUAAAGGUGGGAGCUACCAUGGCACUUAGCUUUUGAAAAAAGUCCUGGGAAGAAGGGUACAUAUUACUUAUUCCCUUCAUUUAAUAUUUGAGGAGAUAAAUCAAGAGAUACUACAUGACUUGCCGGAGGCCUCCUAGCAGGUAAAUACCUAACUUAGGCAUGGCUAUCUGUAGACGUCCCCCUCUGCCACAUCUCCCAGCACAGAACCGACAUGUUCCCACAUACUGAUGGAGGGGAGAGGUAAGAUGAGCUACCACCCAAUGAUAGAAAUCCAUAGCUCGGUUUUAUCUGGUUCUGUAAAGUGUGAUCUGAUUUUUUUUUUUCCACAUGACAUCACUAUCACUUGAACACCUCAAGCCACAUUCUCUGAUGGUAGUCAGGCUACAAUUUUAGUCUGCUGCUAAUGAGUGGCACACAAUGAGACAGUGUGAACUUGGCCAGGAGCCCUUAAACUUCCUAAAACUCAGCUAUUUUAUCAUCAGCAAAAAGAGAAUGCUAAUUCUUAUGGCCUUGUAGCAGUGCUAAUUAAUGUUUGCCUAGCAUACAGAGCCUCAGAAAAGGCUAGUUAUCAUUUUUAUGAAUAUUAGUACAGAUCUUACACCUCAAACAUGGGUAGUCAUGGGGCUGAAAAGUCCAGAAAGCUGUGAGAAAGACCAUAACUUUGAGUCGUCUUUGGGGCAGCUGAAUCUUCUGGAACAGCUAGGUCCUGUAGCAACAUCCUGCUAACC
rnacentral:lncRNA from 1 species